UACGGUAGGGCGCAAGCGUUGUCCGGAAUCACUGGGCGUAAAGCGCGACGUAGGCGGAUUGUUAAAGUCCAGGGGUGAAAUCCCGGAGGCUCAACUCCGGAACUGCCCUUGAAACUGCAGUGCUAGGAAUUCUGGAGAGGCGAGUGGAAUUCCGAGUGUAGAGGUGAAAUUCGUAGAUAUUCGGAAGAACACCAGUGGCGAAGGCGACUCGCUGGACAGACAUUGACGCUGAGGUGCGAAAAGCGUGGGGGAGCAAACAGGG
rnacentral:rRNA from 1 species